UGCGUAGGCGGUUUGGCAAGUUGGUAGCGUAAUUCCGGGGCUCAACUUCGGAGCUACUACCAAAACUGCUAGGCUUGAGUGCGGCAGGGGUAUGUGGAAUUCCUAGUGUAGCGGUGGAAUGCGUAGAUAUUAGGAGGAACACCAGAGGCGAAAGCGACAUACUGGGCCGUAACUGACGCUGAGGCACGAAAGCGUGGGGAGCAAACA
rnacentral:rRNA from 1 species